rnacentral:rRNA from 1 species
GCAGCUAACGCGUUAAGCACUCCGGCCUGGGGAGUACGGCCGCAAGGUUAAAAUUCAAAGGAAUUGACGGGGCCCGCACAAGCGGUGGAGCAUGUGGUUUAAUUGGAAGCAACGGGCAGAACCUUACCAGCCUUGGACAUGGGAAUAUGGUCCGCAGAGACGCGGUCCUUCACUUCGGGUGGGUUCCACACAGGUGCUGCAUGGCUGUCGUCAGCUCGUGUCGUGAGAUGUUGGGUUAAGUCCCGCAACGAGCGCAACCCUCAUCGUCAGUUGCCAUCAUUUAGUUGGGCACUCUGACGAAACUGCCGGUGACAAGCCGGAGGAAGGUGGGGAUGACGUCAAGUCCUCAUGGCCCUUACGGGCUGGGCUACACACGUGCUACAAUGGUGGUGACAAUGAGUUGCGAGCUCGCGAGAGUUAGCUAAUCUCCAAAAGCCAUCUCAGUUCGGAUUGCACUCUGCAACUCGAGUGCAUGAAGUCGGAAUCGCUAGUAAUCGUGGAUCAGCAUGCCACGGUGAAUACGUUCCCGG